GUUGACCCAAUCAGGAAGAAUCCCCUACUUAGAUU
rnacentral:rRNA from 1 species